rnacentral:rRNA from 1 species
AUUGAACGCUGGCGGCAGGCCUAACACAUGCAAGUCGAGCGGAUGAAGGGAGCUUGCUCCUGGAUUCAGCGGCGGACGGGUGAGUAAUGCCUAGGAAUCUGCCUGGUAGUGGGGGAUAACGUCCGGAAACGGGCGCUAAUACCGCAUACGUCCGGAGGGGGAAGGUGGGGGAUCUUCGGACCUCCCGCUAUCAGAUGAGCCUAGGUCGGAUUAGCUAGUUGGUGGGGUAAAGGCCUACCAAGGCGACGAUCCGUAACUGGUCUGAGAGGAUGAUCAGUCACACUGGAACUGAGACACGGUCCAGACUCCUACGGGAGGCAGCAGUGGGGAAUAUUGGACAAUGGGCGAAAGCCUGAUCCAGCCAUGCCGCGUGUGUGAAGAAGGUCUUCGGAUUGUAAAGCACUUUAAGUUGGGAGGAAGGGCAGUAAGUUAAUACCUUGCUGUUUUGACGUUACCAACAGAAUAAGCACCGGCUAACUUCGUG